ACAAAAUAAUAAAGAGAAAAUGUAUUUAACUGGUCUUUGUUCUAUUACAUUAGUCCUAUUGUUUGUAAUUUGCUACUUUCAUCUUAUACAUGUGAUAUACAAGAUAUAUUGUUAUUGUAAAGUAAAAUUUCCUAUAUUGUGAAAUACAGUUUCCUGUAUCGUAAAAUAAGUUUUACGAUCAAACCCACAAGAAAAAAGUGACAGCACUUUGAAAUGAGUAACCUGAGAACACUGUCAUGUAAACUCAUCUGACAGAGAGGACCUGUAAACGAUCCUUGGACUCCUUGGAGAAGAAUACUGUAUGCAAAACAGGAUUUUGGAUCAGCUGUGAAGAUUUUGUAUGGAGCUGUUUUGGAAAUGAAAAUCUUCUAUACCACAUGAUCUUCAGAGGAACUAAUCCAGCUGAUUACUGGCAAUUUGGAGGAGGACUGCUCUUUGUGUCUGUCAUGUCUGGCCAUGGACCUUUUGUUGUAUGUUUUGCUUUUACUUAUUACACUAAUAUAGCUAGAAUUCAGAAUUAAAAUACAUAUGUUUGUCUACAUAUAUUACCAGAGCUACAGUGGUGCCCAAAAUUAUUAGAACACUAGUAUUUAUUUUAUACCAGUUAAAAAAUGGUUUUAAGUCAGUUAUUUCUAUCUUUUGCUGUAGUGUGUCAGUA